CCGCCGAACGCGAGCGACAAACGAAACAACGGUUUUUAUUUUUAAUCGCAUCGCGACCGUUGAGCAAAGUGGAUGUGUUUUCGUCGCAAAUUAGCGGUAUCAAUCGUGAAAAAUUUUCAGAAUCCAAUAGGAAAACGUCAAGUGCGGAGCAGUUUUAUUACAUUUUAGUGCGGAAAACUGCGCGUAUGUUUUCCCAUAAGCGUAGCGCCCCAAUCUCGAGUUAUUGCUGUAGUGGUGAGCGAUUCGUAGUUGUGUAGUGCUGCUGGAGGAAAAAUAAAAGAGUGACACCGAAGAAGCAUAAGCAGAGAAGAGAGAGAAAAGGAAACAAAAUAAGCAAACAGCGAACCGCCACCGUCUUCUUCAGUCAUCGUCAUUCAAGACGAAA